rnacentral:rRNA from 1 species
UACGUAGGGUGCAAGCGUUGUCCGGAAUUAUUGGGCGUAAAGAGCGUGUAGGCGGCCCGAUUAGUCCGCUGUGAAAGUCCAGGGCUCAACCCUGGAAUGCCGGUGGAUACUGUCGGGCUAGAGUCCGGAAGGGGCGAGUGGAAUUCUCGGUGUAGAGGUGAAAUUCGUAGAUAUCGAGAGGAACACCGGUGGCGAAGGCGGCCAACUGGACGAAUACUGACGCUGAGACACGAAAGCGUGGGGAGCAAACAGG